CGUAGCAAUACGUCAGCGGCAGACGGGUGAGUAACGCGUGGGAACGUACCUUUUGGUUCGGAACAACACAGGGAAACUUGUGCUAAUACCGGAUAAGCCCUUACGGGGAAAGAUUUAUCGCCGAAAGAUCGGCCCGCGUCUGAUUAGCUAGUUGGUGAGGUAAUGGCUCACCAAGGCGACGAUCAGUAGCUGGUCUGAGAGGAUGAUCAGCCACAUUGGGGCUGAGACACGGCCCAGACUGCCUACGGGAGGCAGCAGUGGG
rnacentral:misc_RNA from 1 species